rnacentral:rRNA from 1 species
AGAGUUUGAUCAUGGCUCAGGAUGAACGCUAGCGGCAGGCCUAACACAUGCAAGUCGUACGGUAACAGGGAAAAGCUUGCUUUUCCGCUGACGAGUGGCGCACGGGUGCGCAACGCGUAUAGAACCUACCCUGUACAGGGGGAUAGCCCAUGGAAACGUGGAUUAAUACCCCGUGGAGACCAGAAGUGGCAUCACUUUUUGUUUAAAGUUUCGGCGGUACGGGAUGGCUAUGCGUCCCAUUAGUUAGUAGGCGAGGUAACGGCUCACCUAGGCAAUGAUGGGUAGGGGCCCUGAGAGGGGGAUCCCCCACACUGGUACUGAGACACGGACCAGACUCCUACGGGAGGCAGCAGUGAGGAAUAUUGGACGAUGGGCGCAAGCCUGAUCCAGCCAUGCCGCGUGCAGGAAGACAGCCCUACGGGUUGUAAACUGCUUUUAUACGGGAAGAAUAAGGGGUACGUGUACCCCGAUGACGGUACCGUAAGAAUAAGGACCGGCUAACUCCGUGCCAGCAGCCGCGGUAAUACGGAGGGUCCGAGCGUUAUCCGGAAUCAUUGGGUUUAAAGGGUCCGCAGGCGGGCAAUUAAGUCAGGGGUGAAAUGGUGCGGCUCAACCGUAGCACUGCCCCUGAUACUGGUUGUCUUGAGUUAUGGUGAAGUGGCCGGAAUAUGUAGUGUAGCGGUGAAAUGCAUAGAUAUUACAUAGAACACCGAUCGCGAAGGCAGGUCACUAACCACCAACUGACGCUGAUGGACGAAAGCGUGGGGAGCGAACGGGAUUAGAUACCCUAGUAGUCC